rnacentral:rRNA from 1 species
UACGUAGGGAGCAAGCGUUGUCCAGAAUCAUUGGGCGUAAAGCGCGCGUAGGCGGCCCCGUAAGUCCGCUGUGAAAGUCAAAGGCUCAACCUUUGAAAGCCGGUGGAUACUGUGGGGCUAGAGUACGGAAGAGGCGAGUGGAAUUCCGUGGUGUAGCGGUGAAUGCGCAGAUAUCAGGAGGAACACCAAUAGCGGAAGGCAGCUCGCUGGGACGUUACUGACGCUGAGGCGCGAAAGCGUGGGGAGCGAACAGG